GAGAGAUGGCAGAGUGGUCGAAUGCACUGGUCUUGAAAACCAGCGUACCGCAAGGUACCGGGGGUUCGAAUCCCUCUCUCUCC
rnacentral:tRNA from 1 species